UAAUUAGAUAUUCGCCGCGAGACCUGCGGCCCUUUUAAAUUCAUUUUUUUUAAAAAAUAUUCUUAUUAAUUUUAUUCAUUUUAAUGAGUUUUGUGAAUUUUAAAUAAUUAAUAAUUGCCUGUUUAAUUGAAGCGACUUUUUAACCCUAAUCAAUGUUUCGCGCCUUGGAUCGAAUCCUCGAAGAAAGGUCGUAAGAUCGAAGUGGGCGAUGAGAGGGCGAUUUUCAACGCGGGGAGCCCAAUCCGACGCUCAGAUCGCUCCACUUGAUCGAGUUCCCCAGUGAUUUCCCGCUGGUACUCAAGACUAGGUGGCAGUUGUUUGCUUUGCUUUGGAGGCAAACUUUUGAAAAUUGAUUAAGGCAACGGGCGUGGUACGAAUAUGUGAAGGCGCACGGAGUACGACCACACAAAACUCUGUCAAGUACCUUUCUACAUUGCUUCAACUGCUCACCAUUAAGCAAUUGCAGGAGGAUAAUUAUGCGGGGCAAGCAAAAGCAGAUGAGUAAAAAAAAAUAUGCAAGCUUUUUUCUCUCCAACUCUCUCUCUCCCUCCUCAGAUAUCCACACUGUUACACUGCACCGGAGGAUUACCCUAGAUUUCCAUGAGCAGACAGGGUUGUCCCCAUUUGUAUUGCAUCGGAAUGUGAAUAGGGAGAAGGCAUAACACUAUUGUCAUUUAAGAGGGUGUCUGUGUAUGUAUGUGUCACCCUCCUUGACAAGGUCAAGGCAACAGUGCGGCCUUCUACCACUACUGUUUCUCUUAUUCUUCUCAAUGUUUAAUAGUUAAUGAUGGUGCGUGGACAUGGCACAGAGAUAUAUAGAGGAUGAUGUGCGACAUAAGGUAGCACUGUUUGGAGGGGCCUUGGAUGCUGUAAGCAGACAGGGGGAGACAAGGGGUUCUGCUGUCCACAUGUGCCCUUUCCUUCCUAGAGCAGGUUAGCUAUGGCCUGAGGUGGAAGAUGAAUUGAUUGAGAUAUUAUCAUUACCUCCGCAUCAACCUCCUGCAGAUUUCACAAUUGGUUUUAGCGUGCAGUAGUGCUGCAAGGAACAAAGAGACAAAAAGAAAGCAUGAAGGGUGUGUCAGAUCAAUUUUAAUUAUAGACCUAGUAGCUUUUGCUGCUGCUUCUCCUCCGGCUGCUGCACCUGCACUGACUGCACCCCACAACACACUGAGCCAUGGAUGAAUGGAUUCAUUGUGGUCUGAUAUGACUUGUCGAAAAGCCUUCUUUUGACUACUGCUCCGUCUCCCCAACAAUCUCAGACACAUUUAAGAGCCCGUCUCAUAAUUGUUAUUUGGUCGCCAUAAAAUAUAUGCUUGAGUUGAUACAGAUUCUUUCUCUCUACUAGUCCUUAAAGCAAGCUAAUCAUUUGAGUUGAAUAUUUCCUUGUAUAUGUUCCAUCCAUUAACUGCCACUAAAAAAUGGAAAAGUAAGCAAAGCACAAAAGCAUCCGGAAAGAAAAGCUGGGAUUGGUGCAGGGAAAAGGCAUAUGCAUGCAGUUAACUGAGGAUUAUUAUGAUUCUACUUAUCAGACUGAGGAUUUCGCUAUAGUGCAGGCUUCAUCUUGUGUGUGUUAUCAAACUGCAUGCUGCAGCAGCUGCAUGACUCAUCACUUCAACUGGAGGAAUGGGAAUAAAGGGAAGGAGGAAGGAAGGAAUGAUGCAUUCUGCAGCAGCUUCUAAAGCACACCAAGAACAGCAAAAAAGGUUGGGGAUUCUUUGUCUGGGUGAGUCUGAGAAAAAGCUGGAAAUUUAAAAGCAAAAGAAGUGCAUUUGAUUAAUUAGUAGAGAUAUUUUUUUAAAAAAAGUUGUUUUUUUAAUAGUUUUUCCAAGACCUUUCCUAUUCUUAUACACUUUAUAUUAUACAUUGAUUUUUAUUGAAGGUGAGUUUGUCACAUAA